AUUCUGAUUUUAUGAAAAUAUAUUUAUUUACAUAAGUUUAGUAAGAGUCUUUUCUUUUAAAACAGGAUUAUUUGAGACACUGGUUAUUUUACCAGAGCUUUAACUAGAAUAACAUAUUGUUAGGUAAACUUUCAGAAAAGCCAACUUAGAAAGAGCCUAUAUGGCAAUCAAUUCUUGCUGCAAUUUAUGCAAAUAAUCAGGCAAAGUACAAUGAGCCUAAAACUUAUUUUGCACACAAAUUAGUCUUACUAUAAUUUCUCUACAAUAGGAAAGGAGGGCUAGAGAGAGGAAGAAAUUGUUUCAAAGUAAAACUAUUACACUUUUUACUAGAUUUCAGCCCUGACUUUUGUUUUUGAGUGUAGAUUGAAUCAUGAAUUAUUUCUUGGCUACAAGAUGCAAAUUUCCCUCAUUUGGCAUUCCACUGGGCCUGAUCUGUUUUUCACUGCAAAUAACCUGCUGUUUAAGGCUAUAGAAGCCCCCUCCCUCUAGGCCCAGAGACUAUCAUGGAAGAGGUUGGCACAUAAGAUUGUAAGGGCUGGUUUUGAGGGAUAGAAGUAGAUCAAGGUCAGACACUCCAAAUCAAAGAUGGGUACAAAUACACCGAAACGGCUAGUAAAACAAAGGACUUUGUUUUCUGAGCUAUUAUGUAGCACCUUUUCAUUCACCUCAACCAUAAGGAAUUUCCUGCUUCCCAUACAAUUAAGAGAAAAUAAUUACUAAGAGGAUUAUGAUACCUCGUGACCAAGCCUCCUGAGUAUAAUACUCUUAGUUAUGAGUUGUGCAGAUAAAUAUAUAUUUAAAAUUUAUUUUUCAGAACAAUGUUAUGCUUUAUAUAGUGAAUUGUUAUAUGUCUGUAACUAAAACCAAGAUUGCAGUAGCUCAACACACAGAAGUUAAAUAUAAUUCAGUUUUGUAACCUCGCCUUUGGCUUUUUGUUUGUUGGCUCUUUAAAACAACAAAAAAAUUACGGGAUAAUGAAUGCCUGUCCAUGUUCAUUCCUAUCUGGCCUGGAAUAUUUAAUUGGCUAUAAGUCUCUUGACUCUAAGUCCCUCUGCCACAGAGUGUCCCACCGAGGGACAGGAUGGACCUGAGGCAGACAGUCCUUUAGCCCUGGAAAUGCUAUGGAACAAAAUAAACAUUUGGAGGCCAUUGAUGCUGUCUCUGGCAAACCUUGGCCAGAAGAGGGAGAAUGUUAAAACAAAAUAAAAUUCUAAGGUCCCCAAACCACAUGAAUGGCUUUAUCAUAUGUGAAUCCUUAACCUUGGCAAAAUAAACUUUCUAAAUUGAUUGAAACCUGCCUCAAAUACUUUUGGGUUCACAGUUUGAAUAAAAAUAAAAAAAAAUUCAAAUUCAAGUGACAUAAUGUUUUUCUGAAAUCCAAAUGCUUAAACAAAAAUAAACAGAGUUUUAAAGGAUAUUGGUAAUUGUAUCUCAAAAAUUUUGAGAAACAUAUUAUGUUGGGAUAAAAGAGAACCUUAAAAUAAUAUCUGCUUGUUGUAAUACUGUGUAAUGUUUCCUAAUGAGACAUAAAUACUAUUUUCUUUGCUAAGUACAGGGAGUAAUAAUAAUAAUAAAAAUUUCAGGGUCCUUUUAUAAAAAAAAUUGACUACUAUAAUAUCAGAUAUUAUGCUGUGUAGGCAUUCCUUUAUAGCUUAUAAAAUAAGUUUUGAAAAGUAUAACCAGUACUUAAGCUAUCUUUGAAGCUAUCUUGUUGCAACAAAAUUUUCUAUUGCAUCCCUUAUUUGAAACUUUUACUACUUAAAAUGUUUUACUACUUAAAACUUGAUAUUCUUCCCUGGUGUAUUCAAGAACUCAUCCAGUUGAUUGAAUCAGUUAAUUGCUUUUCUUCUUCUUUUGUUUGCAAUUUAAAUGCUUGUCUCACCUUCACGUGUUAUUACACUUCAUAAAGAAAAAUUAGAAGACAAUAAAAACAGAUAUUUUCAACUUCAGAAUUUUAUUUAUGACUAUAUCAUUUUACAAGAAUUUGUAACUACUUAUGUUUUUGUAGAAUUGUAAACAUGGAUUGCAAUAGCUUGUACAUGAUUAACACACUAAUUGAAAUAAGAAAAAUGUUACUAAAAUCUGCUUUUAAAUUUUUUAAGUAGUGAAAAUUCUAUGUAUAAUAUUUGUAUAUGUAUUAAUAUAUUUGGAGCAGAUAAUGUUGGUUUAUGCCUCAAAGCAUAUUUGAUGUUUUAUGUGAUUUAUUUGGUUAAAAUUAAUUAAUCAUUUAAUUAAAAAUUUAGAAGCUCUAUUUAAAAUAAGCUUGCUGUACAAGUAAAUUACAAUGGUUUAUAUAUAGGUAAUAAAACAGAAUUAAGCAGCUAAAACCAUCUAAUACUACAGUUGGUUAAAGAGGUCAAAAAAGAUACAUAUACUUUUUUAAAAAUUCAUUUAUUUAUUUGAGAUAAGGUCCCACUCUGUCACCUAGGCUAGAGUGCAGGAGUGUGAACAUAGCUCACUGCAAUCUAGAACUUCUUGGUUCAACUGAUCCUCCCACCUCAGCCUUCUGAGUGGCUGGGACUAUAGGUACAUGUCACCAUGCCUGCUAAUUUUUUAAUUUUUUUGUAUAGAUGGUGUAUUGCUUUGUUGCCAGGGCUGGUCUUGAACUCUUAGGCUUAAGUGAUCCUUCAGCCUUGGCCUCCCAAAGUGCUGGAAUUAGAGGUGUGAGCCACCAUGCCCACCCAGCUUGGUCAAUUUAAUAUCAAUUAAUUACAAACAAAACAAAGUACACAGCACAACUCAUUUUUCUAUUUGUCUGGUGCUCAUUCCUCUAUGUAAUAAAGGGCCAGUGGGUAUAGAUAAUGUGCUAAUAUGGAAAAUAAAAUAAUUUUUAAAAAUAAUUAAUGUCUUAGAAGCCAAGAAAAGACAAAAAAAAAGAGAAAAGAACCUUGAGAACAAAAGAAAAUGAAAAGCAAAAUGAUAGAUUUAACCUCAACAUUAUAGAAAAGUAAAUCAUUAUAAAUGUACUACAAUCUCCAAAUAAAAGGGAGCCAUUGAUAGAAUUAAUAGAGAACCAAAGUCAAUCUAUAUGCUGACCUCAAGAAAGUAAUUUUACUUGUAAACAGGUCAAAAGUUAAAAGAUAGUUUCAUCAUAAUUUGUUUUGAAGUUAAGAAGUAGAAAAGACCAUACCUUGACAUUGUUAUGUAUAAAAAUCUGAUGUAUCUAUAUUAAUAUUAAAAAAAGAGACUUCAAAACAAUUUAUGUUCCCUGGGAAAAAGAGGGAUUUUUUUUUAAUGAUAAAGAGACUAGCUCACCAAGAUGACAUAAUAAUUUCAACAUAUACAGGCUUAAUAACAGAACUUUGAAAUAUAUGAAGCAAAAAUCAAAAUAAUUGAAAGAAGAAAUAGAUAAAUUCACGCUAUAAGACUGAGAUUUCAACACACAUCUGCUUUUCAUUUAUAUAACAUUUAUAGGGGAAACAAAUACGAAUACAGAAGACUUAAAUUACAUUGUUAACCAGUUUUUUCUAAAUUACAUUUAUAGAACAUUCUACUUCAAAACAGAAGAGUAUGCAUUGUUUCCAGAUGAAAAUGGAAUAUUCAUUAAGAUGUCUGUAUGAUUUAAUUAGUUUAAAAGAAAUAAAAUCAUCUGGCUUUGUUAUUCCUAUGGAAUAUAAUCAGAAAUAAGAAAAAUAGACAUCUAUAAAAUUCCUAACAUUGGAAACUUGAAACCACGUUUUUAGGAGUGACUUCCACUUUUGGGAAGAUGGAGUAGAAAUACUUUUUCCUAUUCCUCUCACUAAUCAUAGCUAAAACCUUGUACAUUAUACAUAAAAUAAAUGUAAAAAGACCCUAUAUAGGUGUAAAGAAGACAGUAGACCAGUGAGGGACCUCAGGAACAAAAAACAACACAAUGAUAGUUUCUUCGGCUUGGUUUUUGUCUCAUAUAUACUAGACUUGGAGCUGAAAAAGCUGCCUGAAAAUGCCAAUGGGCACAGAAAAAAUCCUCCAGAAAAUGGCUCUUUUCUCUAGCCAAAGAACUAGUAGAAAAGCAGCCUAGCUAGAGAGAAAACUUUUACAUAGUAACCACUCUACUCCAGGCAAACACCAAAAAACAAAUCAAGAAAACAACAUCCACAAAAAUUGUGUCUGAGUCAGAAAAGACUGACCUGGAAAUCUUGAUUUUCACCGUCACAAGUUUGUUAAAAGAUAUCUGCUGGUCCUGAUGGUAGAGAAAGUCAAAUAGGAAAUUGAUACAUCACCAUCAGCCUGUAACAAGUCCUCUGUCCAGCAAUGUCAGUGAAAACCACAUGAAGAACAUGGGCUUUCACCUCACCCAUCGGUAAUGUAGUGCCCUUCAUCCUUGAUGCCUGGGUGGCGUCAGAGAAAGCCUACUGGAGAAUCAGGAAUUUCACCAUUACCCAGUGAUAACAAAGCCACUCUCACUAUAAUGUCGGUAGAUGUCAUGUGAGGCACCAACACAUCAGCACUCACCUAGUGGUAUCAAAAGACCACUCCCCUUGGGUUUCAAUGAAGGAUGAGUAAGUAACCUGGACUUGUAUUUAUAACCAGCUGCUUUUCUUCCUCUGCUGGAGCAGUGUCACAGAAAGCCAGUUAAAACAGAAAGUUUAAAGAAAAUUUAGUGUCCCACAAAAUAACAUAAAAAUGUCAGGUCUUCAAUAAUAAAUCACUUAUCAUACCAAGAAGUAGGAAGAUAUCAAACUUGAUUAAAAAGGUGAGCAAUAGAUGCCAACAAUGAGAUGACAGAGAUGUUUAUAUAAUCUAAAAAUAUUUUAAAGCAGUUAUAAUAAUUAUGCUUCAGUAAGCAAUUACAAACGAAUAUCCUUAAAAAACAAAAGGAUGUGUCAACAAAGAGUUGAAGCAUCUUAGCAGAGAAAUAGAACAUAUCAAGAGGAGCAAAAUGGAAUUUUAGAAUUAAAACAUUCAAUUACAAAAAUAUGAAGUUCAGUGGAUGGGUUCAAUAUAGAAUAGAGGGGAGAAAAAAAUGAAUGAAAGACUGUAGGUAGAAAUUAUACAAUCUGCAAAAUUGAGAAAAUUAGACACAAAUUCUCCAGCAACUGUGAAAAUAUAGCCAUGUAUCACUUAACAAUGAGGAUAUAUUCUGAGAAAUACAUCCUCGGGUGAUUUUGUCAUUGUGCAAACACCAUAGAGUAUAUUAUACACAAAUCUCAGUGGUAUAACCUACAAAGCCUAUUGCUCCUAGGCUAAACUCGUACAACAUGUAAUACUGUAGGCAACUAUAACAAAAUGGUAAGUAUUUGUUUAUCUAAACUUAUCUAAACAUAGAAAUGGUACAGUUAAAUCAUGCUAUUAUGAUCUUAUGGGACACCACAAUAUAUACAACCCAUCAUUGACCAAAAUAUCAUUAUGUAGCAAACGAUCAUAUAGUGAAAUAUCUACAUUUUCUGUCGUCAAAGCACUGGAAUAAGAAAAAAGACUGGGGUAAAAAAUUACCUGAAGUAAUAAUAGGGGGAUACUUCCCCAAAUUUGGCAAAAAACCAUAAAAGAUAUAAAUUCAAGAAGCUGAAUGAACACCAAACAGAAUAAGACUAAAUACAUCUAUGUCACUAUGAUACAUCUUCAUUAUAUUUUAGAAACUAUAGGAAAAAAACUAUUAUAAUGACAGAAAUUUUUCUUCACAAACAAUGGAGGCCAGGAAAGCUCAUAAUCCUAUAGACAGUGAAAAUAGCCUUCAAGAAUGAAAGAAAAAUCAAGACGUUCUCACAGGAGUGAGAACUAAGAAAAUUUGCUACCAGUAAAUGUAUUGUAAGGGACAGUAGGGGCAGAAUAAGUGGAGAUUCUUAAUUGGUAUAAAAAAUAUAGUUACAGGGAAUAAGAUCUAGUGUUUAGUAGCACAAUAGAAUGACUAUGUUAAUAAGAACUUACAGUAUAUUUCAAAAUAACUAAACAAGUGAAACUUUAUAUUAACAUGUAUCUAGUUAUAUAUAUAUAUAGUAUAUUUCAAAAUAACUGAACAAGUGAAACUGUUAAUAUUAACAUAUAUCUAGUAAGAGUAAGAAACUGGAAUGUUUCUUAAAAAAAGUCCUUAAGUAAUGGAUAUCCCAAUUACCAUGAUUUGAUUAUUACACAUUGUAUGCUUGGAUCAAAAUUUCACUUUUACCCCAUAAAUAUGUACAGCUGUUAUGUAUCUAUAAAAAUUGAAAAUUAAAAAAUAACUAAAUAAAAGUGAAAAAAUUAUUUAAAAAAUAAAGCAAAAAAUGAAGAAAAAUAAAUAAAUAAAUCAGCUAAUAUGAAACACUCUUCUUCUCUUGAGUUGUCUAGAUUAUUGUUGACAUUGAGUCAAAAAUUAUAUCACUGAUUUAUUUUGUUCUUAUUAUAUGUAGAGGAAGUCUUUAAGACAGUUAUAGCAGGGAGCAGUUACAAUGUAAACAGAGGUAAGAUUUCUAUAUUUCACUUGAACUGAUCAAAAUAACACCAGUAUACCAUGAUAAAUUAUGUAUCUGUAUUAUGAAAUACUUGGCACAACCACCAACAAAGCUUAUAGAAAAAUGAAAUAGAUACAUACAUACAUAUACACACAGAGAGAAAUGGAAGUCAAAAAACAGUUAAAGUACUCAUCAUAAAAGCAGAAAAAAUCAGAAAAAAUAUUAAAAAAGAGAUAAACUAAAACAAAAAUAAAAUGAUAGAUUUUAAACCUAACAUCAAUAUUUAUAUUAAAUGGAAAUGGUCUGAAUUGUCCAAUAAAACGAUUGGCAGAGUGGAUUAAAUAACAUGACUAUUAUUUUUUGUCAACAAGAAAUUCACUUCAAGUAUAAUGCUAUAGGCAGGUUGACACUAAAAGGAUGGAUAAAGACAAAUCAUGAAAAUGUGAAUCAUGUUAAUGUGAAAACAAGCUUGAAUAUAAUAUUAGAUAAAGUAGACUUCAGAGCAAAGACAAUUACUAGAGACAGAGAGGGACAUUAUAUAAUGAUAGAAAGGGCAAUCUACCAAAAAGACGUAGCAAUCCUAAAGUUCAUGCACUGAACACCAGAGCUAUAAAAUAUGUGAAGUGAAAACUGAAAAAACUGAAAAAGAAAUAGACAAAACCACAAUAAUGAUCAGAGACUUCAACAUCCUUCUCUGAAGAAUUAGUAGAGCAACUAAACAGAAUUUCAACAAAACUCAGCAACACCAUCAACCACCAAGAUCUAAUCAAUAUUUCUAGAACAUGCCAAGAAACAACAGGAGAAUACACAUUAAUUUUAAGUGCCCACAGAACAUAACCAAAGAAAGAUAAUAUUCUGGAACAUUAAAAAAGUCUUCAAAAAUGUAAAAACCUAGAAAUCAUACAGAGUAUGCUCUCUAAUCACAAUAGUAUCAAACUAAAAAUCAGUAACAAAAAAACAGAAAAAUAUUCAAACACUUGAAAAUUAUCUAGAAACUUGUAAAUAAUCUAUGGGUCAAAAAAGUCUCAAAGGAAUUUGUGAAAAUAUAUUGAAAUAAAAUGAAAUGGAAUAGACAACGUACCAAAAUUUGUGGGAGACAGCUAAAUCAGUGUUGAGAAAGAAAUGUAUAGCUAUAAAUAAAGACAUUCAAAAAAAUUAAAAGCAUCAAAUAAAUCAUCUACUCUCCCACUUAAAGAAUAUAUAUAAAAAGCUGUAAAAUAAACCCAAAGUAAGCAUAGGAAAGAAAAUAAUAAGACUAUAAGUGAAUAAAAUAAAAAAAUAAAAACAUAAAUAUUGGAAAACAACCAAUGAGACAAAGAGUUUAUUCUUUGAAAAAAUCAAUAAUAUUAACAUAUCUCUAGUAACAGUAAGGAAAAAAGAAUAACCAAAUUAUUAGUAUAAAUAUCAGGAAUAAAAAUAGGAUACAAUUAUAAAUCCUAUAUGUAUAUAUAUAAAAGGUAAUAAAGGAAUACUAUAAACAACUCUAAAACAUAUAAAUUUGACAACUUAGACAAACUGGACCAAGUCUUGAAAAUAUUUUCACAACUCACCCAAGAUGAAAUAGAUAAUUUGAAUAACCUUAUAGCUAUUAAGUGGAUUUUUAAAUUAUAAACCUCUUGAAAAAGAAAGUUAUAUGCCCAAAUGGUUUUCAUCAAGAAUUAUAUCAAAUUUUUGAAGUAUUAAUAUGAGUUUACAAACUCUUUCAGAUAAAAGGAAGCAACAAUCUUUAAUUUAUUUUAUAAGACUACUAUUAUGCUGAUAUCUGAUAUCAAAAAAUGAAAACAAAAAUUAUAGAGUCUACCACUUACGAAUAUAAACACAAAAUUAUUUUUAAAAUGUUAACAAGUCUAAUUUAGUAAUAACAAUUAUACACCAUGACCAAUUAAGGUUACACUAGGAACACAUGACUAGUUCAAGGGUCACAAAUUAAUUAAUACCAUGACACAUAAUUUUAGCCUAGAAAGCAAAAAUCACUUGAUUAUAACAAUCUAUGCAGAAAAAAACAUGUGAAACAUGUCAACGCCCAUUUAUUAUAAAAACUCUCAGGAAAACAGGAAUAGAGAGGAGUCCUCCUAAAACUGGUUAAAGAUAAUCUACAAAAAACCUUACAGCUAACAUUAUACUUAAUGGUAAAAAAUUGACCAUUAAAUCAACACUUGCAGUGUAAUCAGAAAAGAACAAAGUUGACUGAAGACAUAGGAUCCAUGGUCUCUGCAUAGUUUUGGGGUCCCCUUUAACUCUGUGAUAUAAAAACACUGUAAGUCGCUGCUUAUAUUUUGAGUUCAAAAGAGGGAUUAAGCAGGAUUCUGAGGGAUUGAACAUUUUACUUAAAGAGACUCUGAAGUGUCAUCCAAAAGAGAUUGUUUUCAUUAAUUGUGGUAGGGAGUUGUAUUAGUGUCCUAUUACUGCUGUUUACAGUUACCUAAAAUAUAGUAGCUUUAAAUAGCAUAAUUUUGGGAGGAAAGAAGUCCAGGAUGAGUCUGACUAGGCUAAAAUCAAGGUAUUUUUGGGUUGUGUUGCUUCUGAAGACUCUAGAGGAGAAUUUCUCUUUGUGUUUCAAGCUUCUUGAUGUCACCUUCAUUUGUUUGCUCAUGGCCCUUUGUUCCAUUUUCAAAGCCAACAGUGUAACAUCUUCAAAUCUCUCUCUCUCUGAGGUUGACUCUCCUGCCUCCCUCUUAUAAGCAUCCUUGUGAUUACAUUGGUUCCAUUGAGUAAUACAGGAUAAUCCCUCCAUCUCAAGAUGUUUAAUUUAAUCACAUCUGCAUCUGUAAAGUCCCUCUUGCCAUAUUCACAGGUUCUCAGCAUUAAACAUGAGCAACUUUGAGGGAAGAACAUUAUAAUGGUUCCCACAAGAGUUGAAGUUGGAACAAAUUAAAUAUAUACAAAACAUAAUUUCUUAUCAAAUAUAGGCAAAAAUGAGACAAAUCUUAUAAAAUAGAGAAACUACAUGUUAGUCCAUUCUCAUGCUCCUAAUAAAGAUGUACCCAAGACUAGGUAAUGUAUAAAGAAAAAGAUGCUUAAUGGACUCACAGUUCCAUGUGGCUGUGGAGGCCUCACAAUUAUGACAGAAGCAAAGGAGGAGCAAAGUCAUGUCUUACAUGGAACAGGCAAAAGAGAAGUGCAGUGCAAAGAAGGGAAAAUCCCCUUAUAAAACUAUCAGAUCUCAUGAGAACUAACUCACUACCAUGAGAACAGCAUGGGAAAGACCAACCCCCAUGACACAAUUCCCUCCCACCAGGUUCCUCCCAAUUCAAGAUGAUACUUUUGGGUGGGGACAGAGCCAAACCAUAUCAUUCUACCCCUGGCCCCUCCCAAAUCUCAUGUCCUCACAUUUCAAAACCAAUCAUGCCUUCUCAACAGUCCAAAGUCUUAACUCAUUUCAGUAUUAACUCAGAAGUCCACAGUCAAAAUUCCCAUCUGAGACAAGGCAAGUCACUUCUACCUAUGAGCCUAUAAAAUCAAAAGCAAGUUAGUUAUCCCCCAGAUACAAUGGGUGUACAGGCAAUGGGUAAAUAUCCAAAUGGAAGAAAUUGGCCAAAGCAAAGGGGCUAUAGGACCCAUGCAAGUCUGAAAUUCAAUAGGGCAGUCAUUAAACUUUAAAGUUCCAAAAUAAUCUCCUUCUACUCCAUGUCUCACAUCCAGUUCAUGCUAAAGCAAAAGGUGUGCUCCCACAGCAUGGGAAGCUCUGCUCCUGUGGCUUUUCCAGGCAUGUGGAGCAUGCUAUCAAUGGAUCUACCAUCUGGCGUUUAGGGGACAGUGGCACUCUUCUCACAGCUCUACUAGGCAGUGCUCCAGUGGGGACUCUGUGUGGUGGCUCCAACUCAACAUUUCCCUUCUGAACUGCCCUAGCAGAGGUUGUUUAUGAGGGCCCCAAUCAUGCAGCAAACUUCUGCCUGGACACCCAGGCAUUUCCAUACAUCCUCUGAAAUCUAGGUGGAGGUUCCAAAACCUCAAUUCUUGAUUUCUGUGCACUCACAGGCCCAACUUCACAUGUAAGCUACCAAGGCUUGGGGUUUGCAACCUCUGAAGGAACAGACUGAGCUGUGUGAUGGCCCCUUUUAGCCACAGCUGGAGCUGAAACAGCUGGGAUGCAGAACACCAUGUUUGGAGACUACAUAGAGCAGGGAGGGGGACUCUGGGACCAGCCCACAAAACCAUUUUUUCCUCUUAGGCCUCCAGGCCUGUGAUGUCAGGGGCUGCCAUGAAGGUCUCUGAAAUGCCCUAGAGACAUUUUCCCCAUUGCCUUGGAAAUUAGCAUCUGGCUCCUUGUUACUUAUAUGAAUUUCUGCAGCUGGCUUGAAUUUCUUCGCAGAAAAAGAGUUUUUAUUUUCUACUGCAUCAGGCUGCAAACUUUUCAAACUUUUAUGGUUUUCAAACUUUUAUGGUUUUCAAACUUUUAUGCUCUGUCACCUCUUGAAUGCUUUGCUGCUUAAAUUUCUUCCACCAGAUACUCCAAAUCAUCUCUCUCAAAUUCAAAGUUUCAUGGAUCUCCAGGGCAGGGGCAAAAUGCUACCAGUCUCUUUGUAUAGCAACAGUGACCUUUACUCUAGUUCCCAACUAGAGUAAAGUUCUUCAUCUCCAUCUAAGACCCUUUCAGCCUGGAUUUUAUUGUCCAUAUAACUAUCAGCAUUUUGGUCAAAGCCAAUCAAGAAGUCUCUCAGAAGUUCCAAACUUUCCUACAUUUCCCUAUCUUCUUCUGAGUCCUCCAAACUGUUCCAACCUCUGCCUGUUCCCCAGUUCCAAAGUCACUUUCACAUUUUUGGGUAUCUUUAAAAUAGCACCCCACUCCCAGUAACAAUUUAUUGUAUUAUUCAUUCUUGCAAUGCUAAUAAAGACAUACCCGAGACAGGGUAAUUUACAAAGGAAAGAGGUUUAAUUGACUCACAUUUCCACAUGGCUGGGGAGGCCUCACAAUCAUGGCAAUAGGCAAAUGAGGAGCAAAGUCAUGUCUUAAAUGGCAGCAGGCAAGAGAGAAGUCCAGUGCAAAAGGGGGAAAAGCCCCUUAUAAAAUCAUCAGAUUUUGUGAAAGCUAACUUACUAUCAUGACAAUGGCACUGAAAGAUCCAUCCCCAUGAUUCAAUUCCAUCCCACCAGGUUUCUCCCAUGACACAGGGGAAUUAUGGGAGCUACAAUUCAAGAUGAGACUUGGGUGGGGACACAGCCAAAUCAUAUCACUCAGCAUGUGUGAAUUGAUAAAUUUUCUCAUGAUAUUAUGAGGGUAUAAAAUACAACAAUAGCAAUUACAGAAACCCAUAAAAACUUCUACUGAACCUUGCACAGCAUCCCUAGCUUAUAGAUUGUUACUAAAAUGUGAAAAGCACACACACACACACACACCCCUCAUGAGCAUAAAGUUUAGUUCAUAUCUUGUUUAGGGUUGAAAUUAUGUUUCAGACAAAUUUGCUAAACACAACAAAUUUGUGGAAUCAUGAGGCCAUCAGUAUUCAUUUGAUUUAUUAAUGUUUGUUCUACAAGUGUAUGUGAGGAACCCACUUUGCUAAAAAUUGGUUAGAUAAUAAAAGGAUAUAUAAAUGAAGAAGUCAUAUAUCUGAUAUGUACAGUGUAGUCAUAUAAAAAAGACAACUUCUCAAGUAAAUAUACAAUCAGUUAAAAAUAGUUUCAUGCAACAAUAGAGGUUAAAAUUUCAAUCAAAGGAAUGAUUACUUCAAAGAGCAGUGAUUGGCAAGAUUAUACAAGAUAAUCAUAUACAUACAGAUUCUGUGAUCAUGGUAAGGGACAUGUCAGAGAUUUACUAAAACCCCAGGUCCCCUUUACAUUUUCUAAUGGUGAUUAUUUGUUAAUAGUAUUGUAAAAUAGAGAAAUUAUGAGUAAAUUUUUAUUCCUAGCAUCAUUUGCUAAUGUCUCCUGGAAAAAAUUCUGAGCAACUAUUUCUUUCAUAAACAAAGCAAACUUUAUUAUUGAAUAUCUAUUUAACAACCUAACAACCAUAUGCUUUACAGAAACAGAUGCUUAUUUUUAUAUUAAUUUAAAAUAAAUAUAUAAAUUAGAGAACUCAAGACUAAUAUAAGUUUGUUGGCCUGUUCUUUCAAAUAUUCAGCUGUUCUACACAUAAGUUUCUGAAGUAUUAAUUUAGCCAUAACUCUUAGUUGUCUAUUCAAUAUCUGUUGUACUCUUUUUUCCCCACUGUAAAAAUAUCUAUAUUGAAGUUUCAACAUGUAAUGCUCAAAAUACACACCUUUUUCAUAUUGUCUUGCAGCAAAGCUUGACCAUGAGAUAAAAUUCUAACCAAUAAUAUGUAAGAGGAAUUAGAUAAAAGGCUUCAGUGAGAGUUUUAGUGUCUUCCUGAUUAAAAAAAAAAGGCUCAUAAAUUUCUUUGGUUUUUAUUCCUUCUUCUGUGUACCUGGAAUACAGUCUGUUACCUGAAGGAGCAUCUUAUAAGUAUAAGGAAACAGUAAAUCUAUUUUAUGUUAAAGGCAUUGAUAUUUGGACUUUUUGUUAUUUGCAACAAAUGUAUUUAUAAUGCAAGCACUUAUUUGUUGUGUUUUACAUUGGUAAUUUUUGCGUAUUAAAAAAUGCAAUAAACUUUACAUUAGCACCCAGAAAAGAAAUAUUUAUGUAUAAAUCUAACAAACUAUGUUCAAGACUUAUAUGAAGUAAAGUACAAAACUGUGAUGAAAGAAAUUAAAGAAGAGCUAAAAACUUGGAGAAGUAUUUCAUGUUCAUAAAGAGGAAGACUCAAUAUUGUAAAGAUAUCAUUCUUUCCAACUUAAUUUACAGGUUCAGUGUAAUCUCAAUAUAAAAUCCCAAGUUAUCUUAUGGAUAAUGAUAAAUUGAUUCUAAUAUUAAUAUGAAUAGGCAAAAGAUGCAGAAUAGCAAACACAGUAUUAAAGAAAAAGAAUAAAGUUAGAGGACUGAUACUACCUUGCUUUGAGAAUUUCUACAAAGCUAAGGUAAUCAAUUCAGGGUUGUAUUGACAAAGAAAUACACAAAUAGAUCAAUGGAAAAGAACAGAGAGUGAAGGAAUAAACCCAUAUAAAUAUAGCCAAUUGAUCUUUCACAAAGUACAAAGGCAACACAAUGCAGGAAAGAUAUGAGGGAAAUUUUUAAAAUAUGUAGAAAACUGGAAUUUAAAGAUAAAAAUUAAAGAUAUAAACUUUUUAACAUUAACUCCAUCAAGUUCAAGACAAUUUUGUAAGAGAUGGUACCAAUUAUUGAGUCAAUCCCUAAAGAACUGAGGGUCUUGGGAAUUUACCAAUGUCAAUGCUUUUUUACAUUAUCAACUGAAGAAAAAUGGCCACCCUUUUUAGAUUUUUUAAUAUUAGGAAGAAAAAGAAAUCAGAAGAAAUCAAAUUAAAACUGCAAGGGGGAUGCCUAAUGAUUUCCCAUUGAAACUCUUGCAAAAUUGCUCUUGUUUGAGAGGUAUGAGCAGGAACCUUGUCAUGGUGGAGAAAAGACUCUAGUGAAGCUCUCUCAGGUGUUUUCUGCUAAAGCUGUGGCAAACUUUCUCAAAACACCCUUAUAAUAAACAGAUGUUAUCAUUAUUUGGCCCUCCAGAAAGUCAACAAUCGAAAUUCCUUUGAGCAUCCUUAAAAACUGUCACCAUGAUAUUUGCUCUUGACUGAUCUGUUUUACUUUGACUAGUCCACUUCCAUCUCUUGGUAGCCAUUGCUUUGAUUCUUCUUUGUCUUCGAGAUCAUACUGUUAAAGCCAUGUUCCAUCUUUUGUUACAAUUCUUCAAAGAAAUGCUUCAUGAUAUUGAUUCCACUUUUUAAAAUUUCAAUUGAAAGCUCUACUCUUAUCUGUAGCUCAUCUGUGUGCAAUGGUUUUGGCACCCACAAAGUGAAAAGUUUGCUCACCUUUGAUUUUACAAUCAGAAUUGUGUAGGCUGGACCAAUUGAGGUUUCCAGGCUGUUACCUAAUUGUGCUGUUAAUUUUUGGUGCUCUUCAAUUAGGGCACAAACAAGAUUUUUUUUUUUCUCACAAACUGAUGUGGAUGGUCUGCUUUAGUGAGCUUUCAUCUUCAACAUCAUCUUGUCUCUUCUUAACUUCAGUUAUAAUUUGUAAACUGCUGAUUUCUUUUGGGUAUUGUCCCCAUAGGCUUUUGGUCAAUUAUUUUUCUGUUUCGGCUCAAGCCUCACCAUAAAUUUGAUGCUUGUUCUUGCUUCAUUUUAGCAGAAUUCAUGCUGCUCUGAUAGGGGUUAUUUUCAAACUGGUGUCAUAUUCUUCUUAGUACCUCAAACUAGAUCCUGUUUAGACAUGUUACAACAAGACAAUGCAAGUUUAUUUUUGUGAAAAAAGUUGAAAUUCAUGGAAAAUUUAGAAAAUUUUUAUGAACUGUUUGAAGAUCUCUUGUAGUCUUUUCAGCAAACGGUCCUUGUACACUUGGACAUCCACAUACAAAAAGAUGACUCUAGACACAGACCCUAUUCCAUUCACAAAAAUUAACUGAAAAUGAAUCACACACCUAAAUGUUAAAUUGAAAAACCAUAAAACACUUAGAGAUUACAUAGGAAAAAAUAGAUGACCUUUGAUUUGGUGAUGACAUUUUAGAUACAACACCAAAGGCAUGAUUGAUGAAAUAAAAAAUUAAUAAAAUAGACGUUAUUCAAAUUAAAAAUUUCUGUCCUGAAAAAGACACUGUCAAGAGAAUGAAAAGACAAGCAUGGGAGAAGAUAUUUUCAGGACACACAUCUGAUAAAAAAAACUAUUAGCCAAAAUAUUCAAAGAACCCUUAAAACUCCACAAUAAAAAAGACACUAGAUUUUUAAAUUGGUGAAAGACCUAAACAGAACUUCACCAGAGAAAAUAUACAGAUGGCAAAUAAGUGUAUGAAAACAUAUUUCACAUUAUAUGUCAUCAGGAAAAUGAAAAUUAAAACAAUAAUAAAAAACUACUGCAUACAUAUUAGAAUGGGCCACAGUCUAGAACAUUGACAACAUCAAAUGCUGACAAGGAUGUGGAGCAACAGGAAAUCUCAUUUAUUGCUAGUGAAAAUGCAAAUCGUACAGUUUCUUUGGAAUAAAAUUUGGCAGUUUCUUGCAAAAUUAAACAUACUCCUAUCAUACUAUUCAGUAAUCACAUUUCUUGGUAUUCACCCAAAGGAGUUAAAAACUUAUGUCUAUAAAAAUCUUACACACAGAUGUUUAUAUCAACUUUAUUCAUCACUGUCAAAAACUUGGAAGCAACCAAGAUGUUUUUCAGUAUAUGAAUAGAUAAAUAAACUGUGCUAAAACAAUAGAAUAUCAUUCACUCCUAAAAAGAAAGAGCUAUAAAGCUACGAAAAGAUGUGGAGGAGCUUUAAACGUAUAUUAUUAAGUGAAAGAAAUCAAUUUAGAAAGACUGUAUACUGUAUGAUUCCAACUAUAGGGCAUAUAGGAAAGGCAAAACUAUGGAGACAGUGAGAAGAUUAGUGGUUGACAGGAGUUGCAAGAGGAAAGGAUAAAUAGGUAGAACACAAAAUUUUGGGGGCAAUAAAUUUACUCCGGAUGAUAAUAAGUGGUGGAUACGUGUCAUCAUACAUUUUUCAUAUUUUUUAUUCCUUCUUAUACUACAAAGUAUUUUGGCUUCUCUUUUUGAAUACCUUUCAACAUUUUUAAAUACAAAAAACAGAUAAUACAUACUAAUGAGUUGUUUAAUAACAUGGUACAAAAAUAUGAUCAAUGGAUCCUCAAUAUGUUUUAAAAUUAAAAAUGUGAGUUAAGUGUUAUGAUUCUAAAGUCCUUAUGAAUAGAGUGAUAGAGGGACUGAUAAUGUGUAGACAUAAGAACAAAACAUCCCAUCAGUUUCUGUAACUGCACAUAACAACACAAAGUGUUAGUUGUUCAAUAAGACACACAUGAAUCUGAGAUCUUAUUAAAUAUCAAAAUUUACUAAUAAUUUUAGGACCGUGGUGUAGGGACAAGAGUGACUUUAUUAAAUGCUAAUCUGCCAUUUAACAUCUGACUAACUGCAGUCCAGGAAUGCCGCCAAAAUGUCUAGUUGAUGUAUUAUUGCUCCUUAUGUAAGAACACCUACUCACAGAAAGUUUCCUCCAAAACAACCCUUACAGUCACAGAAAUUAUAGGCUGAAAUGUCUGCAACCACUUACACGUUCCUUCUAGCAUACAUAGGCUUUUCCCCCAAGAUGUAACCCGUGGGUCUGAGAGUUCACAGUGUAAAAAUCUACCUGUGUUGUGGUUGCCAAAGGCCACUAUUCUUUCUGCAAGUUCCCUUAAUAAAUCACUCAAAACCAACAAACUGGAUUUGUCUGCCUCCUUCUUCAGCUUCUUGGCUCCUUUGGUACUUGGAGGCCACUUUGCAUAUAUGACCCUUUUACAGAACACAUGGGUAAUUGUGAAGCAUGAAAGAAGCAUGGAGAAAUCCAGGACUGUUCUUGAGUCCUAACUUUUUAUUUUAUGGUGCGUCAGACACAGAUUUAACAUAUAGGUCUCAGCUAUGCUAGAAGGAUAUAACUUACACAAAAAGGAGCUAUGCAAGUCAUGAAAUAUUUUUAUGUUGUGUUCUGAAAAUUAUCUGGUCUAGAAGACAUUUUCUAAGGUUAUAUGCUAGGUGAAUUUACAAUAAACAACAUAGAUCAACCAGGUACAUAGGCUGAAUCAUGUUCUCCCAAAAUUCUUAUGUCAAAGUUGUAAUCCCCAGUAUCUCAGAAUGUAUCUGUAUUUGAAGACAGGGACUUUAAAGAGAUAAUAAAGUUAAAAAGCAACUGUUAAAGUGGACCUUCAUUCAGUUUGAUUUGUGUACUCAUAAGAGGAAAUCUUGACAUACAAAGAGAAACCAGCAAUGUGUCUACACAGAGGAAAAACCAUGUGAACACAUAGCAAGAAGGUGGACAUCCACAAGCCAAGGAGAGAGAUGCCAGAGAAAAUCAAAACUUUUGGUACCUCAAUAUUGUAAUUCUUGCCCCUAGAACUGUGAAAAAAUAAAUUUCUGUUGUUGAAGCCACUCAGUCUAUGGUAUUUUGUUGUGGUAGCUCUGGCAAACUAAUAGAGUUGUCCAAAAUAUUUCAAAGAUAAGGGCUCACCCACUAGAAAAUAACAACAUAUGUUUUGCAGAGUCCUGACAUUAAUAUGUUUAAAAGAUGAUUUGACUGGAACAUCUUUCAUUCUAUCCCAUUCCUAAAGAAGAGGUGGAAAAAAUAGAUCACGGGCCUGCUGUUAACUCUUUCCUUUCAUCAACUAUGACAUAGAAAUUCCACUUGGUAUAUAACUAAAGACAUUAUCUCAUAGGUAGUGCCUUGACAUUAUUGGUUCACCAACAGAGCAGAACUGCCUCAGCCAUCAAUAAUAAUUCAACGCAUCAGGAUGAGGCCUACGCAUGGGCCACAGAGGAUAUGUAAUGACUUAAGAUACUAACUCCACAUUCUGUGGUAAGAAAUGAAGAUCCAGGAAAUGUAUGGACACCUAUAGCCUGAAGAAUAUUGUCAGAAAAAAACACUGGGAUCUGGAAGCGAAAAGGAAACAUAGAAAACGAGACAGGAAGGUGAAGAAAGUUGAAGAUAAACUUUCUUUUUCACAAUGUUUUUACGGACAAGUUCAGCCCAUAAAUCAAAAAUUACCUUUAUGGAUGAAAUAUUAGUUAAGUCAAGAUCAUCUUUUUCAUUUCCUAAAUGCAGGUUGAAUCUCAUUUAUGGAGUGAGAUGUCAAAUAACAACAAAAAAUGCACUUAAUUUGCAUAAAGAUGCUUGUAAGGUAACAUUGCUCCACACUUUGCUUUAUUCACAUCAUUAGAGGAAAUAUUUUAUUCCUCUAGUUGUUUCUGGCCAUGGCUCAAGGAAUUAAAAACUUCCAUUCAUUCCUUCAGACAGUACAGUUAACAAGAGGAUAACUUUUUUUAUUAUCUCUGUCCUUCUCCCUCAGGAAGCAGAGAAUUAUCAGAUUGGUGAGAGAAAGGAAAUAAAGGUCUGAACAUGUGUCUCAAGUCACCUCUUUUGGGAGCACUCUGUUCUCAGUUUAUUUUAAUUCUGUUUCUCAAUUUAAUGAGUUUACUAGAGCAGGGUCCACUAUUACCCUGUGGAGAUCCUUAAUGAUACAUGGAUAUGUUUAAUUCUGGGAAUAAAGUAGUUAAACUGGCUAGUGAUUAUGCCACAUUGUUAGAGUCAUCUUUGUCAAUAAGAAAGUUGUUCAUAUUUAUGACAUCUGUAUCCAUUUCUUCAGAAGUGUGACUAUUAUUCAUAUAUCCCCAAUACACACAAAAUAUAUAGUUUUAACUAAAUUUUUAAUCUGUUACAUAUUUUUCUAGGUUACUAGCUAGAGACAUCCUGGUUGUUUCCAAUUUGUUGUAAACUGGAAAUCUGAUGCUAAACAAGUAGUGUUAUGACAAGCCUUCUUAUUCAUAACUUGACAUGCUUUUGCCAGUAUAUUUUAGAUGAAAUUUUAAGAUUAUGGUGGAGUCAAAUCAUAUGAACACUUUAAAUUUUGCUCCGUAUUACCACAUUCCUGUGCAAAAGUGACACCAAUUUACAAUGCCAUAUUGUAUAGACGUGUUUCAUGGUACCUUAAAACAAUUACAAUGUUAAUAACAAAGAUAAGUAAUCACAGAGCACUAUGUCAGAUAUAAUACUAAUUUUAAAAGUUUGAAAUAUAAUGACAAUUAACAAAAUGUGACUAGGAGGCUCAAAGUGAGCACAUGCUGUUGGUAAAAUGAUGCUAACAGACUUGCUUAAUAUAGGGUUGCCACAAACAGAAGUAAAAAGUGCUUAUUUGCCGACAACCUUGCCAAAUAUUGACUCUAUAAAAUGGUUUAAAAUUAUUUAUAUUACAGAUACUUUGCUUUGCUAUUUCUAAUUCUCUUAUUUUGUGAACAGUGUUAUUUUAGCCACAUAUGUAUUUCUUUGGCUCUGGAUUUCUCAUUUCAUUUUAAUUUUGUGUGUAUGUCCUUGAUGGAUUCUUUGAAUUUUUGUUUUCAUUGCAUCUUUCUGUAUAAUUAUUCCUGGGAUAUUGUGUCAUUUUUAAAAAUUGCAUUUCGUAGGAUGGAUUCCUAAUACUUUCUUUGCAUGUGCUUUUAUGUUAUUUUAUUUCCUUAUUACUAAAAAGUGAUUUUAUACUUGCCAUGAUUUUCAGGUUUCCCAGCUUAAGAUGGACAGUUCUUACACUUUGACGUAGCAUGGGCAAAUUUGUCUCUACUUUUUCACAUCAAGCUAUAGUUUAAGGAUUGAGUUUUGAAACGUGCCCACUUUUUCCCUAGCCUGAGUGUGUAGAGAAUAAGCAGAUGAGCUCAAUUGGUGUGCAAUUUAGGUAAAAGACCUGGACUCUUUCUCUUGCCUAAAAUUUUAUUAAGUAUCUAAUCCCAUAGCUUGCUCUCUUUCCAGGAGGCAGUUUUACUGCCACCAGGGAAAUAGCCUUGCUUUCAAAUCUCUUCCUUAAUUCAGCGCAGAGCCACCAAGGCUUUGCUUGUAUCAAUGAGCCAUCUCAUGUACCUUCAUCCCCCAUUUCACCAGUCUUUUCCUGGCACUUUCUCCCUCCAUUCCUCACUCUAAGACUGAGUGGGGAAUCAAUAUUUGGCUGUAAAGGAGUAUAUGGUGUCUUACCUUGUGUGCUGAAACAAUGUAUUUACUCAAAGUUUCAUGGAUUUUCUUUUUUCUCUACAUUAUGCCAAGACAUAAAUUCUGAGAGUGUUUAUGAUGGUGCCUCUUUUCCCCUCUGCUUUCUUUCCAAGUUAGAGACAUCAAAAUAAUAAGCCUCAACCAUUUUCCUGUUUUUAAAAGAAAUAGUUAAUUUUUAUGGGAAUUAUUAGGUGUCUCCCAGGCUACUCAUGUAAAUCCUCAUUUUAUCUGUUUUUAAAUUGAGUUAUUCAUGAGAUGCUUUCUGCAUUUUGUUUUUUAGAAAAUUUUAGGAAACAAAGAUAAAUGUCAUAUGGUCUCUCAAAUAUCACAUGGUCUCACAUCCCCUCCAAACUAUUUUAAAUAUGGCCUGACUUUGGGAAUGAAGGCUUUACUUGGACAUGGAUAUGACUGUAGGCAUUUUCCUUUAUAUUCCUUUAUAACUUACUGUUAUGCAUCUACUAGCAGCUGUUAAGGUCACUCCAAAACUGACAUUCUCUCCCCAUGUUUGCUUCCACUAAAACCCAUCUGGUGAUGGAACUGUGCAUACCUUCAUCAAGUAUUUUGAAAACAAAACAAAACAAAAUAAGCAAAAACAAAGUAAACAAAAGACAGAUAUCUGAAUCAGACAGAAUUAGCUUUGGAUCCCAGUCUGUCACCAGUUACUUGUUUAAAAUGGAACAGGUUACUUAACAACUCUGAGAAAUAUUUACUUAAAACACUCAAGUAUAAUAUGUAUUUUGCAGACAUUUUGUGAUAAGUAAAUGAGGUAUGUGUGCAUGUGUGGGCUUGUGUAUAAAAUAAACUCUCUUGAUUGGCCUAUAUAACUGUCUUUUUCACUCAGGAUGAAUGGUGGGUAACUUUUUUACUCACUCAAGCUACAUCGUAUUCUAUUCAGAUUAAUCUAAUUUCUCAUCUGAAAUAGUUAAAAUAUGUGAUAUACUUUGACAAAUAUCAAGGUAAUAAACAUUUGAAAAAGGACACAUUUUUCUCUUCCUUAUUUCCUUAAGCCAAUUCAUUCUUCUACUAUAUUUUAUUUUACAUAAACAUUACUUUAAUUUUAUAUAUGCACUAUGCAAUCUAAAAAGUACAAUUGCCUGUGAUGUCCAUAUACUUUACCUUUCUUAAGAGAGGUACAUUCGUUUAAUUUAUUCUUAUAAUCUAGUUGAUAUGAGUAAAUCUUUUAAAUAACUAGGGUGAAUUUUGCUCCAAUCCACCUAUAUGAAAAUAUUUAUCAUUUUUAAAAAGGCAAUUCUCUCAGCUUAGACAAAAUAAAACCCAUCUUUACAAAAGAUACAAAAAAAAAAUUCGUUGGAUGUGGUGGCAUGUGCCUGUGGUCCCAGCUACUCAGAAGGCUGAGUGGAGACGAGAAGAUCACUUGCACCCACAUGGGUUGAGGCUCCAGUGAGCCAAAUUCUUGCCUCUGCACUACAGCCUGGGUGACAGUGAGAUCUGCAGAAAGAUGAGAUGCUCUUCCAAGCAAGUAAUAGAUCUUUGGGUUGCAGAUAUUGGCAGAACAUUGGCAUAUUCUGGGACCUCAAGCAUUUGAUACCCAAGAAAAUAUAAUUUUAAUGUAUGCUUUCUAAUGUCUCUGCGGAUAUCGCCAUGAGGUGCUAACUUUUUAUAUCAGAUAUUAUAACUUUAUUAUUGUAUUAUACCAAGUUGACAUUAUUGCUAUAUUUUCUUUUAUUGAUUUCAAUACUAUAAUUAUAUGUUUGCACCCAGUAAGAAUAAAUAUGGGAAAUUUGAAUUUUCAUUAUGUGAUUUUUCUCCUCACUAUUUCAAUUUAGUUUAAUUUACUCAAAAUUGUCUUAGAGAACAAUCUAAAAAACAUUUCAUACUGCACUUUUGGUUGGCUGUGCUGAUUUUAUUUUUCAACAAUUUUCAAAAAUGUUUAAGAGUGGUACCAUAAAUAAUUAAUAGGAAAAAUAAUAAUGGCCUCAUUGUAUUAACACAAAAUUAUUGCUGAAUUUGAUGACUAUAUGAAAUUUAGGUUUAUUUUCUAAAAAGAUAGUUUACUGAUUAUUCUACCAAUAGCUUUGUUUUUAACAUGAAAAAGGGAAACUAUAUCUUACAAAGGACCAAAGAAUAUUGAUCUGGAAAAUCUAGAUGUAGAUGACAAUAAGGCAUUUUAUGUGCUUAGUUUAGAUUUUCCUCAUCUUCAUAGCAUACAGUUAUUUAACAUUUCACACACAAAAAUUUUGAGUGUGACUUACUUUUGAAAUAACUUAAACCAUUCACAUUUAUUGUUAUGAGGCUGUUUUGUUUUAAUUAUCUUAUUUAUUUAUUAUACUUUAAGUUCUGGGGUACAUGUGCAGAAUGUGCAGUUUUGUUACAUAGGUAUAUACGUGCCAUGGUGGUUUGCUGCACCCAUCAACCCAUCACCUACAUUAGGUAUUUCUCCUAAUGCUAUCCCUUCCAUAGCCCCCCACCCCUGACAGGCCUCGGUGUGUGAUGUUCCCCUCCCUGUGUCCAUGUGUUCUCAUUGUUCAACUCCCACUUAUGGGUGAGAACAUGUGGUGUUUGGUUUUCUGUUCUUAUGUUAGUCUGCUAAUGCUUUCUUACUGUAUUCUUCCUUUUACUGUGCACAUUUUAAGGUUUCUGGUAUGUUUUCCACUUAUUAUCUCUUUUUUAAAAAAUGAAUUACUCUUAAACAGCAUAUGCAAAAAUGUGAUUUUUUGCAAAGAAUUUCGUACUAUUUUCUUCAUGUUUUUCUCUCAUUCCUUAUUAUUCUAGUAUAUUUCAGAGCCUAUUACCAUAAUUUGAGGCUCUAAGAGCUAUAAUCACACUACAACACUCCAGCCUGGGUGACAGAGGGAGACCUUUUAGGGAGACCUAAAAAAAAAUAAAAAUAAAGCACUAAAAUCUAUUUCACCUUUCCAUUUAUUUACCUAGGAACAAAGAAA